AAGUGGGGCAGGGUUGAGGGUUAUUUAAAGAAGGGGGGGGCGAGCGAAGGGGCUGAAAGCGGAGUGAUUCCCCACCCUUGUUCCAUCUAGCUCUUUCCAGCGAAGCCACUGCCGCCGCCCAGGAGCCCUCGUCCCCUUACUCGUCCCCCUCCUCGUUCCCGCCCCAACGCCAUGGAGCCGGACACCGCUGCAGUGGCAGCCACCGUGGCAGCCGCUGAUGCGACCUCCACAAUCGUGGUCCUAGAGGACGAGCAGCCAGGCCCGUCCACUUCUAAGGGGGAGGGAGCGGCCGGCGCCGCCACCGAAGACACCGUGGCCACGGAGAAGGGCGAGAAGAAGGAGAAAAACGUUACUCCAUUUCAACUCAAACUUGCUGCUAAAGCUUCUAAAUCUGAAAAGGAAAUGGACCCAGAAUAUGAAGAGAAAAUGAAAGCAGACCGAGCAAAAAGAUUUGAAUUUUUACUGAAGCAGACAGAGCUUUUUGCACAUUUCAUUCAACCUUCAGCGCAGAAAUCUCCAGCAUCUCCUCUGAACAUGAAAUUGAGACGUCCUCGGAUAAAGAAAGGUGACAAGCAGAGCCUAAUUUCUGCUGGAGACUACCGCCACAGGCGCACAGAGCAAGAAGAAGAUGAAGAACUACUGUCAGAGAGUCGAAAAACAUCCAAUGUAUGUGUUAGAUUUGAGGUGUCACCUUCGUAUGUGAAAGGAGGAUCCCUGAGAGAUUAUCAGAUUCGAGGACUGAACUGGUUGAUCUCUUUGUAUGAAAAUGGAGUCAAUGGUAUUUUGGCUGAUGAAAUGGGUCUUGGUAAGACUUUACAAACAAUUGCUUUGCUUGGUUACCUGAAACAUUACCGAAACAUUCCUGGACCUCACAUGGUGUUAGUUCCAAAGUCAACUUUAUACAACUGGAUGAAUGAAUUUAAACGAUGGGUCCCCUCUCUCCGUGUUAUUUGUUUCGUUGGAGACAAGGAUGCAAGAGCUCUUUUUAUUCGUGAUGAAAUGAUGCCAGGAGAAUGGGAUGUUUGUGUUACUUCUUACGAGAUGGUAAUUAAAGAAAAAUCUGUAUUCAAAAAGUUUCAUUGGAGAUACCUAGUCAUUGAUGAAGCUCACAGAAUAAAGAAUGAAAAAUCCAAGCUUUCAGAGAUUGUCCGUGAGUUCAAGUCAACUAACCGUUUGCUCCUAACUGGAACACCUUUGCAGAAUAACUUGCAUGAACUAUGGGCAUUACUCAACUUCUUACUGCCUGAUGUCUUUAAUUCCGCAGAUGACUUUGAUUCUUGGUUUGACACUAAAAAUUGUCUUGGUGAUCAAAAACUUGUGGAAAGACUGCACGCAGUUUUAAAGCCGUUUUUGUUACGUCGUAUAAAAACUGAUGUAGAGAAGAGCCUGCCUCCUAAGAAGGAAAUAAAGAUAUAUUUGGGACUGAGUAAAAUGCAGCGAGAAUGGUAUACAAAAAUCCUGAUGAAAGAUAUUGAUGUGUUAAACUCUGCCGGCAAGAUGGACAAGAUGCGACUCUUAAAUAUUCUUAUGCAGCUUCGAAAGUGUUGUAAUCAUCCUUACCUUUUUGAUGGUGCUGAACCUGGUCCACCUUAUACCACUGAUGAGCACAUUGUCAGCAAUAGUGGUAAAAUGGUAGUUCUUGAUAAACUCUUGGCCAAACUUAAAGAACAGGGUUCAAGGGUUCUCAUUUUUAGCCAGAUGACUCGCUUGCUGGACAUUCUGGAGGACUAUUGUAUGUGGCGUGGUUAUGAGUAUUGUCGACUGGAUGGACAAACCCCACAUGAAGAAAGAGAGGAUAAAUUCCUAGAAGUGGAAUUACUGGGUCAAAGGGAAGCAAUAGAGGACUUUAAUGUUCCCAAUAGUAGCAAAUUCAUCUUUAUGUUGAGUACCAGGGCUGGAGGUCUCGGAAUUAACUUGGCAAGUGCUGAUGUGGUUAUACUAUAUGAUUCAGACUGGAAUCCACAGGUUGAUCUACAAGCUAUGGAUCGAGCACAUCGUAUUGGUCAGAAGAAGCCAGUACAUGUGUUCCGUCUCAUCACUGACAACACUGUUGAAGAAAGGAUUGUAGAAAGAGCUGAGAUAAAACUGAGACUCGACUCAAUUGUUAUACAACAAGGAAGACUCAUUGAUCAACAGUCCAACAAGCUGGCAAAAGAGGAAAUGUUGCAAAUGAUACGGCAUGGAGCUACCCAUGUUUUUGCUUCUAAAGAAAGCGAGCUGACAGAUGAAGAUAUUACUAGCCUUCUGGAGAGAGGGGAAAAGAAGACUGCAGAGAUGAAUGAACGCUUGCAGAAAAUGGGAGAGUCUUCCCUGAGGAAUUUUCGAAUGGACACUGAACAAAGUUUGUACAAGUUUGAAGGAGAAGAUUAUAGAGAAAAACAGAAGCUUGGGAUGGUGGAGUGGAUUGAACCCCCUAAACGAGAACGCAAAGCAAACUAUGCAGUAGAUGCCUACUUUAGAGAGGCUUUACGUGUCAGUGAGCCUAAGGUUCCAAAGGCUCCACGACCUCCAAAACAGCCAAAUGUUCAGGAUUUUCAGUUUUUCCCACCACGUUUAUUUGAGCUCCUGGAAAAGGAAAUUCUUUAUUAUAGGAAGACGAUAGGCUAUAAGGUCCCAAGGAAUCCUGAUACUCCAAAUCCAGCUGUGGCUCAAAGAGAGGAGCAAAAAAAGAUUGAUGGAGCUGAACCUCUUACAUCAGAAGAGACUGAAGAAAAGGAAAAACUUCUCACACAAGGAUUCACAAACUGGACUAAACGAGAUUUUAACCAGUUUAUUAAAGCUAAUGAGAAGUAUGGAAGAGAUGAUAUUGAUGAUAUUGCUAGGGAGGUGGAGGGCAAAUCCCCUGAGGAGGUCAUGGAGUAUUCAGCUGUAUUUUGGGAACGUUGCAAUGAAUUACAGGACAUUGAGAAAAUUAUGGCUCAAAUUGAACGUGGAGAAGCAAGAAUUAAGCGAAGGAUCAGUAUCAAGAAGGCCCUGGAUGCCAAAAUUGCAAGAUACAGGGCUCCAUUUCAUCAGUUGCGUAUUCAGUAUGGAACCAGCAAAGGAAAGAACUAUACUGAGGAAGAAGACAGAUUCUUGAUUUGUAUGUUACACAAAAUGGGCUUUGAUAGAGAAAACGUGUAUGAAGAAUUAAGACAGUGUGUACGGAAUGCUCCUCAGUUUAGAUUUGACUGGUUUAUCAAGUCCAGAACUGCCAUGGAAUUCCAGAGACGCUGUAAUACUCUUAUUUCAUUGAUUGAGAAAGAAAAUAUGGAAAUUGAGGAAACAGAGAGAGCAGAAAAGAAGAAACGGGCAACUAAAACUCCAAUGAAUUCAAGAGCCUCAGGAGGGCCUCUAUGCCAGCCCACUGACUUCAGCAUCAAUGGGAGCUCAUUUGACAUUUGAUACAAAUCUCGGAGGAGGAGGAUUUGACUCCCUAUGACUGCAUUCCCCAAAGCCACACUUGUAUUAUUGUGCAGGACAAGUUGUUUCUACCACGGAAGAUACCUCCAGGUGAUGCCAGGUGGGAGGAAGCACCUGAAGAAAGCUGAGAAGGCCUCGAGGGAGGCUGAGGACAUGGCAGCCUCUGACUCUGGCAUGCAAGAGUGGAGAGAGCUCAUAGGGCUGGAGGAUGUCCCCGAAGGGAACUCUCCAGUAACUGAUGAACACGGGCAAAAUGGGCCGUUUGAGGAUACAGAUGAGGAAGAAGAUACAGGGUUAUGUUUGUACAGUGUUUUCACCUGCUAGAUUCAACUCAACUUGGCUCACAGAAGAAGUUUUCUCUGUAAAAUCCUAGAAUGACACAAUUUCUUUCAAAACAAGUACCAUCUAUUUUCAUGUCGUUACUUAAUUAUAUUUGAUGUCACUUCUCCACAGGGAUGAAGUACAGAAGGAUCUGGAAAGUCUUGCAGGUAUGUUUAGGUGAUAUGUGUGGUUAAAGACAAUUGUUUAGAACAUUCAACUUUUAUAAAGGGAAUUGUUAAGUAGUGGGCCACAGGACUGGUUCUAAUGCCUUUUUCUCAUAUAUAGGGUUUCAUACAAGCAUUUAGUGUGAUUUGAGUUCAUAGGUUUCCUUACUCACCUUUUGAAUUGUUGAUGUGGAAAGUGAAAACGGUACUAACAAUGAUGGGGUCAGAAUGAUGGUAUUAUUUUAUGCACAUGUACAUUUAAUGUACUGUGUUAGAAUAUUGAUGAGAAAAGUGUGCCCUGUUUUGUGUGCACAGAUGAGGUGAGGUAUCAAUUUUUGAUGCCAAUUUUAAAUUCUCUUAAUUUAGUUACUUGUCAUGACUUUCCAAUGUUCCUUUCUAUGCAGUAGCUGUGUAAAUUGAAUCCUCUAAGGUAACCGUCUGUUGUGAUUUUUACUCUAGUAAACUGUGUAGUGGAAAACUGAAGGCGACACUCCCAGCUAGUGAGAGAAGUAUAAUCAGAUCCCCCAAAUUCUAAAUUUUAUAUUGUCCUGUCAGGUGUCAGUUAUACUAUCCGUGGACAAUACACUGAACAAAGAGUCAGAGUCAGUUGGUGGUUCUUUGAUAGGGACCAUCCUUACAAGCAAGUAUGAUUUGAAAGCUUUGCUCUAUUUGGUAAUGAGAAAAUAGAGUGUUUUGUGAGUGUUUGAUAAACUGUUUGUUGUGGGUGGAUUCUGUAUGUAUGAAAUAUUUUUGUUAUAGCACAGAUCCUUUGCAAUUACUGGAAAACAGCUAUUGGUCAUAUAUUCAUAAAUUCAAAUCAUCUGCUUUGCAAAGCUUUAUUUGAAGUUGUUGUGAAGUGCAACACCUAGGGAUAAAAGUGUUAUGUAAAAACCUCUAUGAAAGUUUUUUUUGAACGUUCUUGAAUUUAUUUGUUUAACCUAGACCUUUUACAACCAUGGCUUUUGUCUCUUUUAGUGAAAUGCUUUUUGUUAAAAGCAUCACUGCCGAGAUCGUUUGAGAAAUAAUUUUCUCAGUGUGUGAUAGGAUUAUCCUUACUUUUUUAUCCUUUUGAGGGAUAUUUUUAAGAAAAUACUUUUGUGCAUUUGACCUGAUGUGCUCUAGUAGUAAUCCAUUAAUCCAUCUAAACAUGUCCCUGAGUUGCAGGAUAUUUUAUAAUUUUCAAAAAAUUUGUCUGUCAACCAUUUUCUCCCAAGGGAAAUUAAAGUUUGUCUUUGAGGUCCUUUAUAUACAUUUUGACAAUGGAAAAUAUUUUCAUUUUUAUCCCCUUUUCAUUAUCUCUAAAUUAGAAGGUGAUCUGCAGAUAGAGAAGUUAGAAAUGGGAUAUAGGUUCUGGAAUUAUUUUACGGAAAAGAGUCAGCAAAUCUUGCUUUUUGAAAUGGUGACCAUAUUAUAAAUUUUAUAUUUUUACUAUUUGGAGCAUAAUUCUCAUACAAUGUUAUAUUAGUUUCAGGUGUACAGCAUAGUGAUUCUACACUUACAAUGCCUGUGUUAUAAAUUUUAAAUGUCUUUGUAUAUUGCUGAGGCAACAUGUACCCACAUUGAUUUGAAAAUAUGGGAGCAAAAUAAUUUUCAACAUUAACUUUUAAUGAAUAUCUAUUUCCUAUAUAGUUGAAAUUAAGCAGGCUUUGCAUGCAAAGAGAAGUUUGAAACGAUUGCUAAAGCUUCUAUCAAAGCCACUAACAAAAAAAUUGAGCAAGUUUGGAAAAUACAACAAGAAUGAAGUCAGACUCUUCAUCUCAAAUAUGCUCAGCACUUACAGCCUUUCCUUCAGGAGUGGGAUACAGAUAUGCAGAAACUCCAGGAACAAGAAGAAAAACUAGAUGUUGGUGUCAGCCUUCGCUUUAAAAUUAGUUAAUUUAUUGUGUCCAAGUCUCAAGUAGGGAGUAGCUCAUGCAAAAAUGCAGGAGAGAAGGUAGAUUCCAUGAGCACAGAUGGGUAAAGUUGUGUAGAAGAUGUAGCGAUGGGAGACUGAACGUACUCCUCGGAUUGCUUCUGUUUAUUUAGUGAAAUAGUGAGGCCACCAGUUAGGAGUUAGGGUGGUGGAGGAGGAGGUGUUGCCUUUUGGGGGCAGGGAAGAAGGCCUGGAAUUGUGUCCUGAGAGAGGACCAGUGAAUGAACUAAGGAAAUAGCAUUGCCACGGAGCAUUAGGGGCCCGGCUGAGGUUAGUGUCAUAGUGAUCAUGAAUGUAAAGUGAGACCACUCUUGCAUGGCUGUGGCAGAGCAGCUGGAGAGCUGAAUUUUCCAGGGUAGGAGUUUAGCCACGCAGACUGACAAAGUGAAAAGGGGGCAAGGGUCUUGUGCAAGGGCGUAGGUGUAACGAUUGACCAUGGAAUUGAAGCUGGGGAGGAGGAAACGUGAGGACAUGAGAGUCGGGGUGGGGAAGGUGAAAGAUUUGAUAACCAUUAGAUGUUAAUCCUGACAGAGUAGUGAACUAUAGUAAGAAAGGGAGUGAACUACAAACAGGGAGAUAGAGGUUGGAUGUUGGGGGAAAAUGCUGAAAAAAAAUGCAGUGUAGUAGUACAGCGGUCAAGAGCCUGGACUCUGGAACCAUAAUGUUUGGGGUCCAAUUGCGGUUGACCAGUGCUAGCUGUGAAAGCAGGGACACGUUUUCAUCUCUGUACCUCAGUUUCCUCACCUAUGAAAGGGGACACAAUAAGAGUACCUACCUCAUAGAGUCAUUUUGAGCAUUAAAUGAGAUCAUACAUAAUAAGUUUAUUUAAAGUAGUUUAGAACAGUACCUAACACACAGUUCCUAUAUAAGUCUUUGCUCUUAUUAAUAUUAUGUAGAUGCUGCCAUUUUGGGACAUGACAGAGUCUGGGGUAUGACUAUGUACGUGAAAGGCUAACGCUGGGAAGAGGGCAAAAUUAUUGUUGGAGGCUAGGUCAAGGAACAGAAAGGCCAGCACUAUUGAAGGGGCCAUCUGUGUACAUAUUGAAAUGACCAAGAAUUAAAGCAUGUUUUGAAUAUUGUUAAGAAGGAAUAUUUCCUCCAUGCUUACCGUUAAGAAGGAUUGUCAUAGAGCUUUUGCCCACUAGUGGUAAACACAUUAUUGGCAGGGCCAUUUGUGAAUUUUGAGAUAAAGAAUUAAAGCAUGUUUUCCAUAUUGGUAAGAAAGAAAAACUGCCUAUUCAAUGGCCAUUAGGUAGGAUUAUUAUAUUGUUUUUGUGUAUUAGUGGUGAGCACACAAUUAUCUUAACUGGGUCAUAAAAGUUCUUAAAGAGGAAAUGUUAACAAAUGUUGAUUUAAAGAGUAUACCUUUUAAGCUUAAUGUACAAUUGUUAUCUAAAUAUUAAAUGUUAGCCACACUUUAUCACUUUUUUUCUUUUAUAUUUGCAUAAUCUGUUUCAAGAGCAAUGGAAGCUUCUUCAACAAGCUGGAAUUGUUCAGAUCCAGAAACUGAAAAAAACUGUAAACAUACAUGAACUAUUGUUAAAGGUCUGCUGUAUUUGGUAGCAUAAUAAAUUUUUAUAAAACAAUGUA